CAUAUGGAAUUCUGGCACGUUUAAGAUGAGAAGACACCUGUUAGAGCUGGCGUCCAAAACAAAGUAGCCCAACACCAGAGUUCCUGCUCCAAAGCCACGAAAUGACGGCCAGUUUUAAACAAGAAAAUAAGGUUCCAGGACGCUCCGAGACUGAGCCACGCUGAGUACGAGUACACAGCUGUUUAUAUUCCUUCUGGUGAAUAGCACUGGACUGUUGGAACGGAAAGCGUAGUGAUCUAAAUGAUACUCAAAGGUGUCUUUAGGGCUGUGAAUAGUGCGGGCUGCACUUCGUACAUAUGGACACUAGAUGGCGCCACGACACCACAUAUCGGAAGUCACCCUCACCUCUUCCCGCCUCAGCCCUUGAAUGCGUUGGAGGAGAGAAUGCUACUUCAGCGCCAGAGCAGAGGAAACUUUGUGCUGGCGUUCAACUGUAGGUCCCUGAAGCUGAGCUUUGCGGCGACUGGAGACUGUGGCCUCUGAGUGGCUGGAUCCAGGACGUGCGGGGCUGGCAGACUGAGUUUGCUCAGACAGUUGUAGAUCCAGCAAGGUGAGACCAGGCAUGACAUGUCCACUUGGCAGUCUCUUGUAAAUGUACUGGUGCA